AGGCUGCGGACAGGUGCGCUCAUUUGGUGUGAUCGGAAAGGGAUCAGAGCUUCAUCACCAAACUUUGUGCAAUCUGGAGCUACAAGUCUGAAGACGUAGCCGCGCAAAUUCCACAAAGUGCUUCCCCUACAGGCUGGAGUUCCGUCACCAGCUGCCCCGAGGUAUUAAAACCUAAGCAGUGUAGCACCACACAGGAGGCUGCAGACAUCUCCUCCUCCCCGCUGAUCCGCUUUUACUCGACUCCAGCAGUCCUGCAAAGAGCGUAGCUUGUCAGCCUGCAAAUUACUGCAAUGGUGACUUCCAGGGGAACAACGUGUGUCAUUACCACUUGUCUUUCAGGGCCCACUUUGUGUCUGCAGUCGUCAGGUUUUUUUCUACCUUCCUUCUUGUAAACGCAUACGUGAGAACGUAUUUAUUUAGGUGACCAAGAACAUUGUGUGAUGGUGAAUGACUAACUCUACCCACUACAAUAUUGUGUGGUCCUCAUGCUAGAUGGCUUUGAUGAGAAAACAAUUUGUUUCUAACAUCUUAUGCUUCAUGGCAGAGCCUUGCAAACACCCUGCUGCGUAUAAAACAACUUUGCCCACUCACAAAUGACUCCAUCCUGUUUAUCUGGAAAUAUCUCUGACGGCU